rnacentral:rRNA from 1 species
CAACCUGCCCACCACUUGGGGAUAACCUUGCGAAAGUAAGACUAAUACCCAAUGACGUCUCUAGAAGACAUCUGAAAGAGAUUAAAGAUUUAUCGGUGAUGGAUGGGGAUGCGUCUGAUUAGCUUGUUGGCGGGGUAACGGCCCACCAAGGCUACGAUCAGUAGGGGUUCUGAGAGGAAGGUCCCCCACAUUGGAACUGAGACACGGUCCAAACUCCUACGGGAGGCAGCAGUGAGGAAUAUUGGUCAAUGGACGAGAGUCUGAACCAGCCAAGUAGCGUGCAGGAAGACGGCCCUAUGGGUUGUAAACUGCUUUUAUAAGGGAAUAAAGUGAGUCUCGUGAGACUUUUUGCAUGUACCUUAUGAAUAAGGACCGGCUAAUUCCGUGCCAGCAGCCGCGGUAAUACGGAAGGUCCGGGCGUUAUCCGGAUUUAUUGGGUUUAAAGGGAGCGUAGGCCGGAGAUUAAGCGUGUUGUGAAAUGUAGAUGCUCAACAUCUGCACUGCAGCGCGAACUGGUUUCCUUGAGUACGCACAAAGUGGGCGGAAUUCGUGGUGUAGCGGUGAAAUGCUUAGAUAUCACGAAGAACUCCGAUUGCGAAGGCAGCUCACUGGAGCGCAACUGACGCUGAAGCUCGAAAGUGCGGGUAUCGAACAGGAUUAGAUACCCUGGUAGUCCGCACGGUAAACGAUGGAUGCCCGCUGUUGGUCUGAAUAGGUCAGCGGCCAAGCGAAAGCAUUAAGCAUCCCACCUGGGGAGUACGCCGGCAACGGUGAAACUCAAAGGAAUUGACGGGGGCCCGCACAAGCGGAGGAACAUGUGGUUUAAUUCGAUGAUACGCGAGGAACCUUACCCGGGCUUGAAUUGCAGAGGAAGGAUUUGGAGACAAUGACGCCCUUCGGGGUCUCUGUGAAGGUGCUGCAUGGUUGUCGUCAGCUCGUGCCGUGAGGUGUCGGCUUAAGUGCCAUAACGAGCGCAACCCCUCUCCUUAGUUGCCAUCAGGUUAAGCUGGGCACUCUGGGGACACUGCCACCGUAAGGUGUGAGGAAGGUGGGGAUGACGUCAAAUCAGCACGGCCCUUACGUCCGGGGCUACACACGUGUUACAAUGGCAGGUACAGAGAGAUGGU